rnacentral:rRNA from 1 species
CACAUGUGGCAUUCCACUAUUCUUCCUAAUCAUAUUAAUUUAAAAAAUGCACCCUAAGCUAAGCAGGGUUGGGCCUGGUUAGUACUUGGAUGAGAGACUACCUAGGAAGACCAGGUGCUAUAGGUGU